GACAGAGGGUGCAAACGUUGUUCGGAAUUACUGGGCGUAAAGCGCAUGUAGGCGGCUCGGAAAGUCGGAUGUGAAAGCCCAGGGCUCAACCCUGGAAGUGCACUCGAAACUCCCGAGCUGGAGUCCCGGAGAGGAAGGCGGAAUUCUCGGUGUAGAGGUGAAAUUCGUAGAUAUCGAGAGGAACACCCGUGGCGAAGGCGGCCUUCUGGACGGUGACUGACGCUGAGAUGCGAAAGCGUGGGGAGCAAACAGG
rnacentral:rRNA from 1 species